rnacentral:rRNA from 2 species
UGGGGAAUAUUGGGCAAUGGACGAAAGUCUGACCCAGCAACGCCGCGUGAAGGAAGAAGGUUUUCGGAUCGUAAACUUCUAUCCUUGGUGAAGAUAAGGACGGUAGCGGAGAAGAAAGCCCCGGCUAACUACGUGCCAGCAGCCGCGGUAAUACGUAGGGGGCAAGCGUUGUCCGGAAUGAUUGGGCGUAAAGGGCGCGUAGGCGGCCAACUAAGUUUGGAGUGAAAGUCCUGCUUUUAAGGUGGGAAUUGCUUUGAAAACUGGAUGGCUUGAGUGUAGGAGAGGUUAGUGGAAUUCCCGGUGUAGCGGUGAAAUGCGUAGAGAUCGGGAGGAACACCAGUGGCGAAGGCGACUAACUGGACUAUUACUGACGCUGAGGCGCGAAAGUGUGGGGAGCGAACAGG